GCGGCGGCAGCUGCGUUCCCGGCUCCGAGCGCCGUUCUCUGUUAGGAGGAACCCCAGCAUUUGGAUUGCAGUCUUCACCUCUUGCCUCAUGGGGAUCCACAUGGUGAAUGUAAACACAGUGCUGAGGCUUGUGUGGAGUCUUGAGUCCAUGACGCUGGAGACCCCAGGGUAGAAGGUAGACCACCAGAGCUCUCAUGCAUGGGAGUGGCUCAUAGCCAUCACCUUUGAAAUCUAUUGUCUCGAGACAUUGGCGAGCCUGGGCCUCAAGAGUCUUCUGGAGACACCUUCCUGCACUUAACACUGAUGUCACUGACGGGGGAGCUCUGGAAGAGUGCCAUGAACUUUCAAGGUUGGAAGAGGUUUCAGAUGGUCUACACUGGGGUGUCUACUGGUGGCGCUAAUCUUCUUUAACAAAUGCACAAACCAAUACCAAGAAAUAGGAUAUGGCAUAAGCAACAUCAUUGAAGACUAACAAGUAGAGGGCCGCUGUGAAUAUCAGAAUCAGAAGAUAGUUCUGAGCUUUUCUACUGAUUAGAAAUAGAAAGGCCUGCAGAAGGUAUGAGACAAUGGCAUUCUGAGGACACCCAACAA
rnacentral:lncRNA from 1 species